CUCAACUUACUUGGAACAAGUCACAAGAACUCUAUCCAUCACACGGAAGCCCUGGGCAUCGGUUUAAGAGUGACAAAACUGUACUGAAGUCAAAAUGGAUCGUUGUUCUUUUCCAGAAGGAGGACAUAAGCCAGCUUUCUUCAUGCCCUGGAGAGAUGAUCACCAGGAACAAGGAAAACACUGAAUUCAGCAAUGGGUCACCUUCCAAUGGCAGCUGCCACCACG
rnacentral:lncRNA from 1 species